rnacentral:lncRNA from 1 species
AUGUUGGCCUGGUGGAAAAGAUUUCUCACUCCUUUAGCAGUUCAGGAAAUGAAGGCAAAUGCCGUAUCGAAUGUGAAAGCAAAAAGUAGGAGUGAGCUAUCCAGAGGCAGAGGAACGGAGUCUUACCUGUUCGUGGUCCACCCACGUUUCCUGGCAUGCUUGGCAAUGCUUACAGUCAACGGUGGCUGGAAAGCCAAAGCCCCUUUGAGGAGGAAAUACUAUGAAGAUGAGAGACAGUAUCCAAGAAAGAUAGAAAAGUAGCCAUCGAGGGACAAUGUACACUUAAAAUAUAAUAAAUAUGUGGAACAGCAAAGUUGGAUGUUAGUA